rnacentral:rRNA from 1 species
AUUGAACGCUGGCGGCAUGCUUUACACAUGCAAGUCGAACGGCAGCGCGGGCUUCGGCCUGGCGGCGAGUGGCGAACGGGUGAGUAAUACAUCGGAACGUGCCCAGUAGUGGGGGAUAGCUCGGCGAAAGCCGGAUUAAUACCGCAUACGACCUGAGGGGGAAAGCGGGGGAUCUUCGGACCUCGCGCUAUUGGAGCGGCCGAUGGCAGAUUAGCUAGUUGGUGGGGUAAAGGCCUACCAAGGCGACGAUCUGUAGCUGGUCUGAGAGGACGACCAGCCACACUGGGACUGAGACACGGCCCAGACUCCUACGGGAGGCAGCAGUGGGGAAUUUUGGACAAUGGGCGAAAGCCUGAUCCAGCAAUGCCGCGUGUGUGAUGAAGGCCUUCGGGCUGUAAAGCACUUUUGGCGGGAACGAAAAGGACUGUGCCAAUACCACGGUUCGAUGACGGUACCCGCAGAAUAAGCACCGGCUAACUACGUG